UCUGCCCGAUAGUGGGGGAUAACCUGGGGAAACCCAGGCUAAUACCGCAUACGUCCUACGGGAGAAAGGGGGCUCCGGCUCCCGCUAUGGGAUGAGCCUAUGUCGGAUUAGCUAGUUGGUGAGGUAACGGCUCACCAAGGCCACGAUCCGUAGCUGGUCUGAGAGGAUGAUCAGCCACAUCGGGACUGAGACACGGCCCGAACUCCUACGGGAGGCAGCAGUGGGGAAUAUUGGACAAUGGGGGAAACCCUGAUCCAGCCAUGCCGCGUGUGUGAAGAAGGCCCUCGGGUUGUAAAGCACUUUCAGCGAGGAAGAACGCCUAGCGGUUAAUACCCGCUAGGAAAGACAUCACUCGCAGAAGAAGCACCGGCUAACUCCGUGCCAGCAGCCGCGGUAAUACGGAGGGUGCAAGCGUUAAUCGGAAUUACUGGGCGUAAAGCGCGCGUAGGUGGCUUGAUAAGCCGGUUGUGAAAGCCCCGGGCUCAACCUGGGAACGGCAUCCGGAACUGUCAAGCUAGAGUGCAGGAGAGGAAGGUAGAAUUCCCGGUGUAGCGGUGAAAUGCGUAGAGAUCGGGAGGAAUACCAGUGGCGAAGGCGGCCUUCUGGACUGACACUGACACUGAGGUGCGAAAGCGUGGGUAGCAAACAGGAUUAGAUACCCUGGUAGUCCACGCCGUAAACGAUGUCGACCAGCCGUUGGGUGCCUAGCGCACUUUGUGGCGAAGUUAACGCGAUAAGUCGACCGCCUGGGGAGUACGGCCGCAAGGUUAAAACUCAAAUGAAUUGACGGGGGCCCGCACAAGCGGUGGAGCAUGUGGUUUAAUUCGAUGCAACGCGAAGAACCUUACCUACUCUUGACAUCCUGCGAAUUUGGUAGAGAUACCUUAGUGCCUUCGGGAACGCAGAGACAGGUGCUGCAUGGCUGUCGUCAGCUCGUGUUGUGAAAUNGUUGGGUUAAGUCCCGUAACGAGCGCAACCCUUGUCCUUAUUUGCCAGCGCGUAAUGGCGGGAACUCUAAGGAGACUGCCGGUGACAAACCGGAGGAAGGUGGGGACGACGUCAAGUCAUCAUGGCCCUUACGAGUAGGGCUACACACGUGCUACAAUGGUCGGUACAAAGGGUUGCCAACUCGCGAGAGUGAGCCAAUCCCGAAAAGCCGAUCUCAGUCCGGAUCGGAGU
rnacentral:rRNA from 1 species